rnacentral:rRNA from 1 species
AUUGAACGCUGGCGGCAUGCUUUACACAUGCAAGUCGAACGGUAACAGGGUGCUUGCACCGCUGACGAGUGGCGAACGGGUGAGUAAUGCGUCGGAACGUGCCGAGUAGUGGGGGAUAACGCAUCGAAAGGUGUGCUAAUACCGCAUACGGACUGAGGUAGAAAGUGGGGGACCUUCGGGCCUCACGCUAUUCGAGCGGCCGACGUCUGAUUAGCUAGUUGGUGAGGUAAAGGCUCACCAAGGCGACGAUCAGUAGCGGGUCUGAGAGGAUGAUCCGCCACACUGGGACUGAGACACGGCCCAGACUCCUACGGGAGGCAGCAGUGGGGAAUUUUGGACAAUGGGCGCAAGCCUGAUCCAGCCAUGCCGCGUGUCUGAAGAAGGCCUUCGGGUUGUAAAGGACUUUUGUCCGGGAGCAAAUACCCAGUGCUAAUAACGCUGGGGGCUGAGAGUACCGGAAGAAUAAGCACCGGCUAACUACGUGCCAGCCGCCGCUGUAACAC